rnacentral:lncRNA from 1 species
GAUGUUUAUAUAACAGGUUGAAUUUGAUAAUAACAUGGACAUGAGUUUAAGAUCAGGAAAACAUUAUGAACAUGAUUUCAAGAUAAUAUGAACAUGCCGUUAAGAUGACUAUAAAUAUGAGUUAAAUCACAACCGGUUUCUAAAUAAAUCUCACUGAAGUAGGUCAAUUGAAAUCCGUAUAUAACAGUUUCAUAAUGUUUAGUAUAAGAACACUAUGAACAUGAGUUUAAUAACAUAAGAAGACUAUGAACAUAAGCCUAAGAACAUUUCUAACAUCGUUUAAAAAAGCUUUGAACAU